rnacentral:lncRNA from 1 species
GCGGUUGAUAGAAUAGAUCCGACCAUUUGAUUUCUUGGUUAUCCAAAACUCAAACUUAAUAUCCGAAACAUGCUAUUAAAUUUGCUAGAGAAGUCUAAACAAAGUAAAGGCAGUGUUUACACUUUUUUUCAGUUUCCAAGGAAGCUUGGCGACGUCAAAAGGAUGUUUGGCUUCGUCCUUCAAGUCUCCGACUCUGCUACCUUCGUGGAGAAGUCCUUCAAGGUCUGGCAAGAGAGGAUGAACUCGACAAGGGAGGAAAAGAAGGUCUGCUGCUGCUCUCGUAUCUCUCUGGUUUUUACGUGAAUAAAUGAUGAAAAUUGUGAAGCAGACAACCUCUAUUUAUAGUGAACACGCCAAACCCUAGUUGUGCUCCUAGCCCUUCAUUGAUUUGUGAUCCAACGGAGCAGAAUUAUACUUUAAAUCCUGAUUUAGACCUUCCUAGAAUUCUCUGGAAUGUCUUGUGCAGAAAUCUAUUGCAUAAGGCUUGAAUAUGGACCAGGUACACUCCUUGUUCUCCAAAGAAAAUCACAGCAGUGAAAACUUUCCUUCUUUUGCCUUCAAUUAAACCUUUGACGAAAUUCCCUUCCUUUAUUUGUGCGCAAUUAGAGUUCCUACAAGGGAAAUAAAAUCAGAUAGAUAUGGUAGGAAUAACAUAAUUCAAAUGACGAAUUUAAAGGAAAGAAUCUCCCUUAAUUCUCUGAUUAGCACAUAUAAAAUCCUUGAUUGCUGCAGAAUUCGUCCUCCCCUUUUUAUAGACAUUCACAGAUUCCUAUUCCAAGUUGGAUUAGGUUUUCUGAUUGCAAAUGGUUUCCCUGUCUCAUUAGAAAAGAAAGUUUCCUAAUUAUUUUAGGAAAGUCAGAAUAGGAAAAAUUCAAAAGUAGUAAGUUUCCUAAAUCAAAAUAAGAAAAUUUUUCUUAAAAUGAAAUAGGCAAGUUUCCCUUUCAAAACAGGAAAGUUUUCUAAAUGACUCCUUGCUGCACCAGGAAUCCUCCUUUGAUUAUGAUUUCCCUCAAUUCUUGCUCUUUAGCCUUAUUUUGUGUAAAACUGCCUCUUUUAACCUACAACACAGAAACAAGCUAGAAAUGAUAUUAUUAAGGAAAUAACGAAGCUAAAUAGGGUAGGAAAUACAUUAAGAAUAUAGCAUAAAAUGCGUGUAUCAAGCCCUUUAGUUUUAAAUGCCCAGUUUGCAGGCUAAGUUUAAAUGAGAUCGAGCGUACAUGGAGUCGAUGCAUAGUCAGAGGCUGCUUCCGCUUAUUCUUUAUUAUUUGUUUUUCAUUUAUUAUAGAUAUGCUCUGAUAACCAUUUGAUAUUGUUAUUAGUUGAUUAAGGCUUGAUGGGAGAUGUGAUGAACUUGGGGAGGAGGAAAGCUCCAGGAGUUGUGGGUGGAUGAUUUAUAAUAGAAGUGUUUAUCUGGAAUUUUUCAGGUAAGGGUUGUCUAUUUUCAAGGUAGAUUAUGCCUAAUUUUAGAUAAAUUUUUCUUGAAGGUGGAUCCCGCAGGAAUUACUUCGGGUUUCAAGGUGAAAUUCGGGGUGGGUCCUGACAUAGGCUACUCAUUUAUAUAAACUACCUCCUACUCAAACUCACAUUUCCUUUUUGCUACACUAGUAGAAAAAAAGGCUUAAGCGAUGGUACAUUCAUAUUUCGUAGCUUAAGCAGAUCCUAAGCGACGAAAAUAAAUAUCGUCGCUGGAAAUACAUAUUUCGUCGCUACAAUUUUCUGGGGUGACGAAAUUUUUUUAUCGCCUUAGUUUUGUCGCCACAUGUCCCACUAUGGCGACAAUAAGGUUUUUGUCGCAACUGGUUCAUGUAGCGACGAAAAUUUUAACACUUAAGCGACGAACUUUUUUGUCGCAUUAUAUUCUUCUCCUAACCGACAAAUAAACGUAUCGUUGUCUAAGUUUUAAACUAUAGCGGUGGAAUAUUUGACAAUAGAGCGACAAAACUGUUUGUCGCAUUAUAUCCUUCACUUAACCGACGAAUUAAUUGCCUGUCGUCUUAGAUGAAGACUAAAGUGACGAAACUUUGACUUUAAAGUGACCAAACUGGUUGUCGCAUGAUGUCUUUCACCUAACCGACGAAUUUACUGUUCGUUGUCUUAGAUUAUGACUAAAGCGAGGAAAUAUUUGACUUUAGAGCCACGAAAAUGUUUGUCGUAUUAUAUUCUUCACCUAAGCGAGGGCAUUUUUGACUUUAGCGACGAAAUAUUUUGUCACUUAAGUGAAUUCUUCUUUAGGUUAUGAGAAUCAACCCUUUUUUAUCUUGAUGAUCCAAAGGAGGGUGGGGGUUGGAAAGUUGUUAACAUGAUGUCACAUAGAGGUAUAUUUAUACUGCAACUACACUUGAGAUGAGUAUUGCAAAUAGAUAUUGAUAAUGUGACUCUUGAACCAUAUCAAGAAGCCUCGACGUCUAAUAUCCCCGACAUGGAGACUAUUCGCAUCAACAACGACAAUCACCUCCAACCCCACGAGUACGUUCCCAUUUUUAAUUUAGAGUUUGACUUCAGUUCAUUUCCAUUCAUCCCAUGCUCCUUGCACAUCUUUGGUAAUAAAAUUUGUUCUUUAAAAUCAUAGUCUGCCAAUCGUUGGUAAAAGAAAAUGGAACUCAAAAGAGUAAUUCAUUAAGUUUGGAAGCAACUUCAGUGAGUUAAAAAUAACCAGCAACUAAGAUCUUUGGGGGAAGAGAGAGAGAGAGAGAGAGAGAGAGAGAGAGAGAGAGAUCAAAAUCUGAAAAUUUCAACAAGUACUGAAGACACUACCUUAGACAAGUUUGAUCUAAAUUUCAGUUCCCUUGUGUCCUUGUUCCUACUAUAAGCAUAUGAACCAUAGUCAGUCCUAACAUGAUUUUCUUUACAACUAAGUCACAGCAGUAGCUAGGCUUCUAUGUAUGGGCUUAUUCCAGAGAGAACACAAAUCAGAAGUAUUGAUAAUAACAUGUAAAAUUUCAAGACAUGUCAAAGAUCAAUGACAGAAAUAAGAGUGUAAAGAAUCCCAAAUCCAUUGUUUUAUAAUAAUGAGCUGCAAAUCAGAAUAAAAACACAAUAUGAGAAAUUUUCCGGAAAUAGGUAGUAAGAAAGAAAAAUUCACCAACAAUUGACCUUUCAAUAUUUUCAUGUGAAAAUUCCCAGAAUCAAAAUAGACAAGCAAACCUACAAUGUCCCAAAAUUUCAAGUCGUUUGGAGUUUAAAUGCAUAGAGAUCCAAAGUGACUGAAAAUGCAGUUUCUGCAGAAAAUUCUGAAACACUGUGUAAGCUUCAAAAUAGCACAAGUUUCUCAUAUCAACUCCGUUUUGCUUGAAACCAAGUUUAAAACGAUCAUUGAAGAGUCUACUUUUAACUGUUAAAAACUGAGAUUGAAAGAAGAAGUUUAAGUUUUUUGAAAAUCUUGGAAAAGCCCACUGGUUCAGCUUGGUGGUGUCUUUGAGACAUACUAUCAAACAUGUGGUGUGCACUAUGUGAUCCUUGCUCUAUUUCUGUUCUAAGCAUUUUAAAGAACCUACCAAUACUAGCUAAUAGUCAAAAGUGCAUCCCAACAACAAUCUUGAACACAUAUACAUAUAAAUCUUAUUAGAGGAAGAAACGUAUUACCGAAAGAAAGUAAGUUCCAAUGCUGUUACAAAAUAGGAGGGAAGCUCACUGAUUCGUAGGCCCAAAAUCCUCUGAGUGAUCUAUCAAAGUAGAACUCAUGGAUUUAAAACAGGUUUAUAGAACAUGUAAGACAAGAAGAGACAUGGAGCUGAGCAAAUCAGAAUAAAAACACAUUUGGUUCCACAAUGAUAUAACACUAUUUUACAAACAACUAGUUAAAGUCACCAUCACAUACGCAGAUAUACAAAAAUCCAAUUCAAUCUCAGAAAAUUGAUUAUUAAAUUCCUAUAAGAUUUGAGUAUGACUCAGUGAUAUUUUUGUGCAGCAACCCCUUCUAUAUAUUUUCACAUAUAUUCCAGAUAAGAACGUACAUAUAACAAUAAGAGAUGACAAGUAAAUAUAUAGUUGAUGGAUAUCCAGACUACUUGUAAGAGAGAAAUUAUAUUCCUAUCGUGAUACUGGGAACUAAUACAUGAAUUUACAAAGCACAAAGGUAUUAAUAAGAACGAGUGUAUAAGCACUGGAACAAACCAAUAUUAGAUAUCGCAAUGAAAUAACAAUAAGUGGCAGUAGUAGCUAUGAACUCUUAAUUUUCAGAUUUUCACACAGAAAAUUGAUACAACUCCAUGAUCUCAAAACUCACCCAUUUUAGAUAAAACUUGAUUCUAUUGAAGGAGAAUAAAACCCUCUAUAGUAUAAUGUGAGCUUUAUACCCAGUUGAGGAGUUCAAGAACCAAAAACAAGUCCUUGAAUCCAACUUGUUUAAUACUGAAAUAGAAACAGCAAAAUGCCCAACUUCACAGCUCAAUAACUACCUUAAUACUCAGUCAAAUUAAGCAAAUAAUAUGUCGAUUAAUAAGUACUCGAAGUACCCAUCGAGUCUGAGCAAUCAACUACCAUCGAGUCUGAGCAAUCAACUAUGGGUUUAAGAACCAGUAAGGCAAUGCAAUUCUACUAAUAACAAAAAUUUCGACCCCAGCACUAAAGAAGCCAAUUCUAAUGAUACUAGAAUGAAUAGCUCAACAGCAAAACAAACGCUCAACAGGUGAAUUGACACAGUGAACAAAGAAUAUCAAAAUGAGUAUCAAGCAUAACACCAGAUAAUGAAAUUUUCAAAAGUUCUACUCACCUCAAACACCUUCUCCCAAGGCAAGCCUUCGACUUCUCUCCCUCUCUUCCAAAUCGCCAGAGCUCCAAUUGCUCCAUCCUCCUAAAAGCUAAUUCUUCAUUACUUUACCUCAUGUUCAAUUGUCCUCCACCUUCAAAACCUCCCACACAUCCCCACAAUUAGAACCCCCAAAAUUGCAAAUUUCCAAAAGAAAUAUAGGCUUUAGAGAUUGAAGAGUAAGGGAUUACAUUAUCGACCUCCAUGGAAACCAUACUCGAGCGGUGAAUGCAGGCACGAGAGAGAGAGGCUCUAAGAGUUCACAGAAUUGGAACUGAAGGCGGGCUCAGAAACCAAACUAAUGCAAAACACAGAAGAAUAUGAGAGUGGUCAGAAAUCGUACCAGAGGCGGCGAUGCUCAGACAGACAGUGGUAACACUACUAGAGAUGUAUCCUUUAAUGACACUUAUUUUAUGACGUUUCGGGAUAAAUGUCAUUAUAAGGGGUUUCCAUGACGUUUAAGGCAGCAAACGUCAUGGAUGUAAAACACGGAGCAAUUAUAUGACAUUUUAUAAACGUCAUGGUAAAACACUUACCAUGACGUUUAUUUUUCGUCAUCAAUAGGUUUCAAUGAUGGUUUCGGUCUGUCAUGCAUACUGUUUGGGCCAUGACAGUUUAUUACUGUCAUCAAAAGUUUUGGGAAAAAUUUUGACACUGUGCCCAAAAUUUGGCUUCGCGCCUGACCCAAAAUUUGGCCCUAAAAUUUUGAGUUACAGUUUGAGUUCGUUCAUUUUAGUUUUAACUCACUUGCCUAAAAUUUAUCUCACCCAAACUCGAUCUCAAACUUCACUUUCCAAUUUCUCUCUUGCAAAUCAGUCACCCAAACUCAAUCUCACACUCAAUCCGAAUCUCAUCCCAAACUCGAUCUCUCACCCAAAUCAGUCACCCCUCUCCCAAAUCACAUCCCCAAAUCUAACACCCCUCUCCCAAAAUCUCAUCCCCAAAUCUCAUCCAAAUCUGUCACACUGCUCUUCGCCCUAAUCCCAAUUGUUUGAGAGUAGAAAUAGCUUCUGGACAAGAAGAGAAACCCAAAGAACAAAAGAUAGAGAGAGGAAAAAC